CUCUGGCUACAGCCAGGGGGAAGAAGCUCUUACAGAAAAGUUGCUUGGAGAUGCUUGUUUGCCUGUUCUGCUGCUGGUCGUGAAAAUUUGUUUACUUCUUAGUUCAAGGCCCAAACACAGUGACAUCGCUAUAUCUGAGGACAACUGGAUAUCUGAUGUGAAUACCUCUGGGCAUACCACAAAAUGAAGGAACAGUGCACCUGGUCCCUUUCUCGCUCUUCUUGAAGGCUCCUGAGGAAAGUGUGACCUGAAGCUGACAUACUCAAGUAUAAUCCUUUGUUUAAAUUCAUACUGAUUGUUAACUGAAAGGGUGCAAUAGACUAAAAUACACUUAUAUUUUUAAUGUUUAAUCCACAGCAAUGGACUAAAAUAUACUUAUAGUUGUGACUUGUAUGUUAAACAUUUACAUGACUAUGUUUAAACAUAUGCAAUAUUGUACUUGCAUGUAUGGACGCACCAACUUAGCAAAUGGGAUCCUAAAUGUUUUCCUGAUAAAAAGAUUACAAAUUAGGUGCACAAAUCCCAUCUCAGAUCUCCAUGCUUGACCUUUGUACCAAUAUUUUGCCCUCUUGACAAACAUGAAUCUACCUAUGUACAGGGAUGUCACAAGUUACUGGGCAAAUGCACCUGCAUUGCUCUAGACAGAUAGAAUAAAAACUUUUCAGGCUAUAAAACAAUAUAAGAUACAAUAUGAAAAUAAUUGUUUGGAUGUGUGUUUUUUCUACAUGAACUAGUGUUCAGGUGCUUCUGUUUCUGAGUGCUUAAUACAAC